rnacentral:rRNA from 3 species
UCGGACCUCCGAUCAAGCAAGAG